rnacentral:rRNA from 1 species
AUUGAACGCUGGCGGCAGGCCUAACACAUGCAAGUCGAGCGGAUGAGGGUAGCUUGCUCCUGGGUUAAGCGGCGGACGGGUGAGUAAUGCCUAGGAAUCUGCCUGCUAGUGGGGGAUAACGUCCGCAAACGGGCGCUAAUAGCGCAUACGUCCUGAGGGAGAAAGUGGGGGAUCUUCGGACCGCACGCUAUCAGAUGAGCCUAGGUCGGAUUAGCUAGCUGGUGGGGUAAAGGCUUACCAAGGCGACGAUCCGUAACUGGUCUGAGAGGAUGAUCAGUCACACUGGAACUGAGACACGGUCCAGACUACUACGGGAGGAAGCAGUGGGGAAUAUUGGACAAUGGGCGAAAGGCUGAUCCAGCCAUGCCGCGUGUGUGAAGAAGGUCUUCGGAUUGUAAAGCACUUUAAGUUGGGAGGAAGGGCAGUAAGUUAAUACCUUGCUGUUUUGACGUUACCAACAAAAUAAGCACCGGCUAACUUCGUG